AAGGAAGCAGCGAGUCAACUCAUAAAGGAUGACACUAAUACUCAUGCUGUAAUCCUCAGGUGUUGGGUGCUUAAUUAGUGAGAUUCAUGCCAGCAUUUUCAGCUGCCCUGUGAAUAAUGGGUGCUCCCAUUGAUCGACUACCUAUCGCUAUCGGACGAUAAUGGCUUUGGGAAGUCUGAUCGGUGGUCUCUAUAUAAAGGCUGAUCUCAUAAACUGAUCUGAAGCUGACGACGCGCCUGCAGUGAGAGGUUUGGCAUGACAUCCAGCAGCACCAUCUCAAUCUCUGUCUGCCUGUGCAUAGGUAAAAUAAAUAUAAUGCUGAAGAACGGACGGGGAAUCUUCCACAGACGCAGCAGGGGUUUGUUUUCGUCUGAAAGAACAGGGACGCUUCCCUGCAU